rnacentral:rRNA from 1 species
GAUGAACGCUGGCGGCGUGCCUAAUACAUGCAAGUCGAGCGAACAGAUGAGGAGCUUGCUCCUCUGACGUUAGCGGCGGACGGGUGAGUAACACGUGGAUAACCUACCUAUAAGACUGGGAUAACUUCGGGAAACCGGAGCUAAUACCGGAUAAUAUAUUGAACCGCAUGGUUCAAUAGUUAAAGACGGUUUUGCUGUCACUUAUAGAUUGAUCCGCGCCGCAUUAGCUAGUUGGUAGGGUAACGGCUUACCAAGGCAACGAUGCGUAGCCGACCUGAGAGGUGGAUCGGCAACACGGAAGCUAGGAACCGUACCAACACCGGACGGGAGGCAGCAGUAGGGAACCUUCGGGAUGGGGCGAAGGCCUGACGGGGAAACGCGGCGUGAGUGUUGAAGGUCUUCGAAUCGUAAACCAUUGUAAUUAGGGAGGAACAAAGGUGUAAUAACCUAGACACGUAUGACCGUUACCGAAGAAGAAGGCCCGGCUAACCUCGGG